rnacentral:rRNA from 1 species
GACGAACGCUGGCGGCGUGCUUAACACAUGCAAGUCGAACGGAAAGGCCCUGCUUUUGUGGGGUGCUCGAGUGGCGAACGGGUGAGUAACACGUGAGUAACCUGCCCUUGACUUUGGGAUAACUUCAGGAAACUGGGGCUAAUACCGGAUAGGAGCUCCUGCUGCAUGGUGGGGGUUGGAAAGUUUCGGCGGUUGGGGAUGGACUCGCGGCUUAUCAGCUUGUUGGUGGGGUAGUGGCUUACCAAGGCUUUGACGGGUAGCCGGCCUGAGAGGGUGACCGGCCACAUUGGGACUGCGAUACGGCCCAGACUGCUACGGGAGGCAGCAGUGGGGAAUAUUGCACAAUGGGCGGAAGCCUGAUGCAGCAACGCCGCGUGUGGGAUGACGGCCUUCGGGUUGUAAACCGCUUUCGCCUGUGACGAAGCGUGAGUGACGGUAAUGGGUAAAGAAGCACCGGCUAACUACGUG